rnacentral:piRNA from 1 species
UGUCAACCUGCUUGGCCAACUGGAGGCUAC